GAAGCCCCGGCACCUUUUGGGGUGCUUCUUCAGA
rnacentral:tRNA from 1 species